rnacentral:rRNA from 1 species
UACGAAGGGGGCUAGCGUUGCUCGGAAUCACUGGGCGUAAAGGGUGCGUAGGCGGGUCUUUAAGUCAGGGGUGAAAUCCUGGAGCUCAACUCCAGAACUGCCUUUGAUACUGAGAGUCUCGAGUCCGGGAGAGGUGAGUGGAACUGCGAGUGUAGAGGUGAAAUUCGUAGAUAUUCGCAAGAACACCAGUGGCGAAGGCGGCUCACUGGCCCGGUACUGACGCUGAGGUGCGAAAGCGUGGGGAGCAAACAGG